GUGAGGAAUAUUGGUCAAUGGACGGAAGUCUGAACCAGCCAAGUAGCGUGCAGGAUGACGGCCCUAUGGGUUGUAAACUGCUUUUAUGCGGGGGUAAAGUGAGUGACGUGUCAUUCAUUGCAAGUACCGCAAGAAUAAGGACCGGCUAAUUCCGUGCCAGCAGCCGCGGUAAUACGGAAGGUCCUGGUGUUAUCCGGAUUUAGUGGGUUUAAAGGGAGCGUAGGCCGUCAGGCAAGCGUGUUGUGAAAUGUCGUGGCUCAACCAUGGACUUGCAGCGCGAACUGCCCGACUUGAGUGCGCGGAAAGCAGGCGGAAUUUGUGGUGUAGCGGUGAAAUGCUUAGAUAUCACGAAGAACCCCGAUUGCGAAGGCAGCCUGCUGUAGCGCUACUGACGCUGAAGCUCGAAAGUGCGGGUAUCGAACAGGAUUAGAAACCCGGGUAGUCC
rnacentral:rRNA from 1 species